GAUUGCGUAACGCGUGGGAAUCUGCCCCUUGGUUCGGAAUAACAGUUAGAAAUGACUGCUAAUACCGGAUAAUGACGUAAGUCCAAAGAUUUAUCGCCAAGGGAUGAGCCCGCGUAAGAUUAGCUAGUUGGUGGGGUAAAAGCCUACCAAGGCGACGAUCUUUAGCUGGUCUGAGAGGAUGAUCAGCCACACUGGGACUGAGACACGGCCCAGACUCCUACGGGAGGCAGCAGUGGGGAAUAUUGGACAAUGGGCGAAAGCCUGAUCCAGCAAUGCCGCGUGAGUGAUGAAGGCCUUAGGGUUGUAAAA
rnacentral:rRNA from 1 species